GAAUCCGGUAGCUUCAGUGGCAGAGCGCUUGACGCGUAAUCUGAGAGAUUCAGGUUCGAUUCCUGGCUUGGUUCG
rnacentral:tRNA from 1 species